rnacentral:rRNA from 1 species
GACGAACGCUGGCGGCGUGCCUAAUACAUGCAAGUCGAGCGGACCAAAGGGAGUUUGCUCCUGGAGGUCAGCGGCGAACGGGUGAGUAACACGUGGGCAACCUGCCUGUAAGACUGGGAUAACAUCGAGAAAUCGGUGCUAAUACCGGAUAAUAAAAAGAACUGCAUGGUUCUUUUUGAAAGAUGGUUUCGGCUAUCACUUACAGAUGGGCCCGCGGCGCAUUAGCUAGUUGGUGAGGUAACGGCUCACCAAGGCAACGAUGCGUAGCCGACCUGAGAGGGUGAUCGGCCACACUGGGACUGAGACACGGCCCAGACUCCUACGGGAGGCAGCAGUAGGGAAUCUUCCGCAAUGGACGAAAGUCUGACGGAGCAACGCCGCGUGAGUGAUGAAGGUUUUCGGAUCGUAAAACUCUGUUGUUAGGGAAGAACAAGUGCCGUUCGAAAGGGCGGCACCUUGACGGUACCUAACGAGAAAGCCACGGCUAACUACGUGCCAGCAGCCGCGGUAAAGUAC